GUAGGUGAACCUGCGGAAGGAUCAUUAAAUGAAGCAACCUAGGAGCCUGAGAUAUGGCCACCGGGCACACCUUCCACCCUUUGUUUAUCACACUUUGUUGCUUUGGCAGGCCUGCCUCCGGGCUGCUGGCUCCGGCCGGCGAGCGCCUGCCAGAGGACCCAAACUCUGUUUGUCUGUAACGUCUGAGUACUAUAUAAUAGUUAAAACUUUCAACAACGGAUAUCUUGGGUCAU
rnacentral:misc_RNA from 1 species